GGGGUCAUAGCUCAGGGGCAGAGCAUCUGCUUUGCAAGCAGAAGGUCCCAGGUUCAAUCCCUGCCAUUGAGGUCU